AUAACAUAUUAACAUGUAUACGUGUGAUUCCACGGAAACUUUCGACUUUCUUCUUGGGUUGAUAAAACCUCAACAUGUGGAGAGCUGCCUGAUAACAAAAAUGCAGUGAAGCUAGAGCUGCAUUUCAUUCCAUCAGUCAACCUUUCGGCGCAUCUUAACAUAUCGCAUUUGGAUCCAGUUGAGUUGGAGGGGGACACGAGCCUUUGGUCUGGCGUCAUGAUGGCCUACAACUCCCUUUCUGCUGCUACCGGUUCUCCCACGAGGGCCCUCGAAGUGUGCUGUUUGUUCCCUUAAACACGGGGUGCAAGUGGUAUCCACCUCAUGGUGACCUUAGAAAACCCAUGUUUAUGUUGGUAUCACUGGCUUUUGGAUUGUGCAGUUGUUGACUGAUUUUUUUUAACUUCGAGGCUUA